rnacentral:rRNA from 1 species
GUGCACCAGGCGCGAAAACUUUACAAUGUGCGAAAGCACGAUAAGGGAACUCUGAGUGCCUCCUAAGGAGGCUGUUCUGAUGUCUAAAAAGCAACAGAAGUAAGGGCUGGGUAAGACCGGUGCCAGCCGCCGCGGUAACACCGGCAGCCCAAGUGGUAGCCACGUUUAUUGGGUCUAAAGCGUUCGUAGCCGGCCAGGUAAGUUCCUUGGUAAAUUUAGCCGCUUAACGGUUAAGCUUUCGGGGAAUACUGCUUGGCUUGGGACUGGGGAGAGGUCAGAGGUACUCCGGGGGUAGGGGUGAAAUCUAUUAAUCCCUGGGGGACCACCGGUAGCGAAGGCGUCUGACCAGACCAGGUCCGACGGUGAGGGACGAAGGCUAGGGGCGCGAACCGGAUUAGAUA